CUUUAGCUGUCUUUACUUUUUCUGUUCUCAGAUCUAUCUUUUUCCUGUCAUAAAAUAAAUGGAGAAAAAGGUUUCUUUCCUCACCUUAUUGUUACUAACAUUUGUGGGAUUUUCUCUUCUAAUUUCCACAAUCGCAGUUCCUUCUUUAAGAAGUCUUAAGACAAUUACAGAAAAUCAAGAUUCUCAUAACAAGGUGGUAUUGAUGGAUGAGUUUGAGAAAAAGAGGGAAUUGUUGGUGGAAAGAGAUGACUAUGCAGGAACAGGUGCCAAUAACCAUCAUGACCCAAAGCCUCCUGGCUCCCAAUGAGGAAAUCAAAAUUAACUAAUUAAUUACGUUUUAAAAUUAUGUUCUUGUGUACAAAACACAUGAAAUAAAGAUGAUCAAGGAAGGAUAUAUGUGUAGUACUAUUCUACUCAAGUAGAUGUAAUUAUAUAUGUUGCUUGUUUUAUCUUCAUAUUAGAACCUACAUUAUUGUCGUUUCUUCCUU